UCCUAAUUGCGCUCCUUCUUGUCUUCACCAGCUGCGCUGCGAUCUGCUGUUGCUGCGUCCUGGAUGCCUGCUUCUAGGAAUUCCCAGGAGAGGAUCGCCUUCCGCUUGAUUCGUUGAUCUUUGUGUUUAGCAUUCGAUUCUACAGAUCUUCUUUUGUCAUUCUUGAGAUAAAUGGGACAUGUUGUAGUCAUCAUAUACCUUUAUUAUUGCUGUGAUAUAUACUAGCGUUCUUGGGUUUUUCUUGCAUCUUUUAUGUCACACUUCAACCCCGAGUUUCCCUUCUCUUUCUCAUCCACGAAGCGAGUCCAAGAUGAAUUUAAGAUUGAGAUCCAAGCUACAUGCGAAAGUAGACGUACCUAUUCUUAUUAACAAGACAUUUGGGUAGCUCAUCGCUUUAGAGAGGUGAACAUAAUUAUAGAUUGGGCGCAAAAGCCUAAACAAGAAAAUCCUUGUCACGAAAUAGAAUCUCAUUUCCCCUCCCUUUGGAGUCCUAUUGAACCGACUUGGUGGGCCUUGACGUCUUGUCUUAGCAAAAUUGAAUGCCACUCAUCAUUCAACCAAGAAAAAAAAGGAUUUCUAUGCCACGUGUUCAUAUUUAUGCACAUGUUACUCCUGAACAUUUGGCUCUGAACAUGUGGCUCGUUCGUUGCUCGAUGGAGACUUGACAUUUCUUUUCGGUCGUUAAAUCACAAUGCGUUUCCUAAGUUUCUGUCGAUCGAGCACGAAACUCCCGUUGCGUGUGCGUUUUGAGGUCAGAAGAUUGCACGGGACUCGCCUCGACUCUUUCUUCGACAACCAAAGUUGACCAAACAACUUAGAUUGGAUUAGAAAGAGGCCCAAUAGUUUCACACCAUUCGGCGACAACAAGGUGCCAUGUGGCAGUAUUUUGACCCUAUUUGGGAUCACAAGUAUAAUGAGGUACGUAACCAACCCCGCCCCAGGCCCCCCCAGCCAACAGCAUCAUGUCACGGCCAAGAGGUUUUCAAAGAUGAAGGACCAGGCCGUGACGCGGAGGACCUCCUGCACUCGCUGGGAUUCCCAUCAAGUCUUCUUCCUGAAGUUUCCAAGGAUGGGCGACGCUGUCAUUACGCCUGAUUCUAGAAGUUUCUAGACUUAUUAAUGUCGGUAGAUGGUAGUUGCCAUUAAUGUCGGUAGUUGAGGCGGUGCGAUAUCAUCCACUGGAUAAAUUCUAGAUCAACGAAUGUAAUCAGAGGACCUUGAGUAUAAGAAGGGGUGCUCUCCCCCCUCAUUUGUAUCAUCCAACAUUUCAGUAAUACAAAGCUCAUUUCUUUCCAAAGCUCCUCUCUCUAGAAGCUUUAUCUCUCUACGAUCUGGGUGUGCGAGCGAGUUGUACGAUUGAUCAAGCAAGGCUUGGCUUGGGUGAUCCAAAGUGCUCGAGUCGCUAUGCGGUCACGAUCCCAAUCGAUUGGCCUAUGACAAGUGGUAUCAGAGCAAAUGAGAGUUCUGUUUUGAGAGAUCGAGGAGCACCAUCUGAUCGAGAGAAUGUCGAGCCAAGAAGCUGCUAUGGAUGGAGAGGCCGUGCAAGUCAAGGAGACCCACGGCUGAGCAAAGAAAAGAGAUGCCUUGAUGGAUGCCAUAGCUGCGUUCGAUGAGAAGAUCGGGAAGGUCCGGAGUGCCGUGCUCGAGCUCAUGGAAGGUCUUGACAAUGUGAGAGACCGGAUCAUGGAGGUUGAGACCUCACUCCGUGAAGACUUCACGACCAGCCUCAACAAAGCUACAGCCCCAUUGCACGAUAUGGACGAAGCCCUUGAAGCAUCGAUCGAUGUGUUGAAAGAGUGCGUCCAAGUGAUCGAGGAGGAAAGUCCGCAUAGGGACGAGGUCGAAGCCAUGAAGGCGGAGAUCCAAGAGCUCAAGACCGAGCUCGCCCUAUGCAAGCUAAGCAUUGCCGAUGGAGCAAUGCCAACACAAGCGGUGCCCAAGCUCAAGGUGCCGAAGCCAAAAGAGUUCAAAGGCGAACAAUCCACCAAAAAGGUGGACAACUUUGUUUGGAGCAUGGAGUAAUACUUUGGCAUUGUCAACAUCCAAAAUGAGUCAAUCCAGGUACAAACCACUUUGAUGUUCCUUUCUGAUACUACAAUGCUUUGGUGGCAAAAUAGGUGCGAUGAGACUAGGCGCGGUGCCAAUCCCAUGGAGACAUGAGAUGACUUCAUAAGGGAAUUCCGAGACUAUUUCUUCCCCGAGUUUGCUCAACAAGAAGCCCGUAGCAAGCUGCAUCGCCUCGAACAAAGAGGUGCCAUCCGAGAGUACGCGAAGGAGUUCACGGAGCUCAAACUCCAAAUCCGCAACCUAAAUGAGGAGGAGUCUCUCAGAGCGUUCAUGGAUGGAUUGAAGCCGUGGGCACUACUCAAGCUCAAGCGACGAUGUGUCGAGUCUCGCGAGAGCGCUAAGCGUGGCCGAGUCACUCGUCGAACUCACCAAAGUCAAACCGAGGAAUAAAGCAAGGGAUUGGAGGUCGGAUCGAUCCGAGGACGAAGGAAGGAACACUCCCCGAGGCCGGCAUGAACAAAGCGGCCUAGUCAAAACCUGGGGUGAAGGCACUUCUAAGCCAGCCUUCCAAAAGGGUCGACCAACGAACUGCUUGACAAGUAAGUUCGAUCAACCCCCGCCUUCUCCUUGUUUUAUCUACAAAGGUUCGCAUUGGACCCAAAAGUGCCCGAAGAAGGGUCGAAUCAAUGCCCUCCUUGCCAUCGAGGAAGAGGAGGAGCCUAAAGAAGACAAGCGGCAAAUCCGGCUUGGAGCUGUGAAGAUGAUCAACUCCGUCCAAGCUCAAUCACCGUCCAAAGAAAAAGAGGUUGCGUCGAACUCGGACAUGUUCUUCGUGGAAGUCAACGUGUGCGGCCGAACGCUAUACGUCUUGGUCAACAUGGGUGCGUUGAACAUGUUCAUGUCGACCGAAGUGGCGAAGGCCUUGAAACUUCGCGUGGAGCCAAUCGGGAAUUCCUUCAAGCCUAUCAACUCGGAGGGCCUCCAUGGUGUAGGAUCGACUUCGGAUGUGGAUGUCAAAAUCGGCAGAUGGAAGGGCAAGAUGGCAUUUGAGGUAAUCCCUCUCGACGAUUAUGAUCUCAAUUUGGGAAUGCAAUUCUUCGAUAGCGUGAGAGCCAUGAUCAACAUGAGGACCAAGUGCAUUAUGAUCCUCGACCCAAAAUGCCCGUCGAUGAUUCCCAUGAUCAAAGCAAUUGACACCAAGACCAUUGUGACGAUCCGACACUUUGACAAGAGCUUGAAGGCCGUGAAGUGCAUGAACAAGCCGGUUGAGGAGAAGUCGAAGGUAGAGCUAGAUCCUACUCCAACUCACGCCAUGCCAAUUCAAGCACUCUUCCCCAAGGUUGAGUACGCGUCGCAUGAUCUGUCCAAGCCGAAGACGGAGCCAUGUGCCACGCUCGAGCUGAUAAUCGAAGGGUGUGGUCCGUCGUUUGUGAGCAUCCGCACCAAACGAAACCGAAACAAGAAAGCCCAUGCCAAAGCCCGUGCUUGUGCGAAGAAGGCCGCUCGUCAAGCUGUGAGCAACGAGGGCGUCACUCGAUUGAGUGGGGCAGAAUGUCACGGCCAAGGGGUUUCCGAAGAUGAAGGACCGGGCUGUGAUGCGGAGGACCUCCUGCACUCGUUAGGAUUCCCAUCAAGUCUUCUUCCUGAAGUUUCCAAGGGCAGGCGACAUCGUCAUUAUGCCUGAUUCUAGAAGUUUCUAGCCUUUUUAAUGUCGGUAGAUGGUAGUUGCCAUUAAUGUCGGUAGUUGAGGCAGUGCAAUCUCGUCCACCGGAUAAAUUCUAGAUCAACAGAUGUAAUUAGAGGGCCUCGAGUAUAAGAAAGGGUGCCCUCUCCCCUCAUUUGUAUCAUCCAACAUUUCAGUAAUACAAAACUCCUUUCUUUCUAGAGCUCCUUUCUCUAGAAGCUUUCUCUCUCUACGAUCCAGGUGUGCGAGCGAGUUGUGCAAUUGAUCGAGCAAGGCUUGGCUUGGGUAAUCCAAAGUAAUCGAGUCGCCGCGCGGUUACGAUCCCAAUCGAUUGGCCUGUGACAAUCAGCGACGACAUACUGUAGCUUAUUGAAUUUCAUCACCAAAAUUUUAAUCUUUUAUUGAAUUUUGAAUAUUCGAAAUUGGGUGAAAGGACUAAACUGAUAAAUCGUUAAAAUGUUCAAGACUAAAUUGACAAAUCAUAAAAAAGUUUAUGAUUGAAUUGGUAAUUUGUCUAAAAUUUUUAAAUUAAAUUGAUACAAUUAAAAUGUUUAGAAUUGAAUUGACCACUGUACGAUAGAUUUAUAAUCUGUUGAACAAUUUUCUCGAAAGAAAGUAUAUUCCAGAAAAAUAAAAAAUAAAAAAUAAAAAAUAAAAAAAAAUAUAUAAGGGUUGCUAUUAGGGCGCAAUGGUUAUAUCUUCCGAAGACGCAAUCAUCAUCCUUAUUUCUCUCGACUAAGAAACAAGAGUCAAAUGUAUCAUUUUGCAAAGUUUGCUUUUCAUGGCACCUCAUUUUUUUAAUUAGAAAAAGGAAAACAGCAUAGCAAUCUUGAUAUGGAGUUUUUUUUCAAAAAUAAAUCUCACUCCUUUUUUUAUGUACAUAUAUGUGCAAUGCUCACAAGGAUCAAAUACCGGAUCCGAUACUCUUCAGCCUCACCCCUUUAAUCCCUUUAUUAGCAGGACUGCAAGCCUUUUGCCAUCUGGUUAUAGAGUUGGAAGUGGGGUUUUUGGUCACCUUUCAAAUUUUUUUUUUUUUUUUUUUGUUUCUUUUGGACCUUCGCAUGUCCGUCUCCUCUGUCGAGCAUGUGAGUUUAACUAAUCCACAUCUCGAUUCUUCAAAAAGCAACAAAUCUAAUAUAAAUUACAUAAAUAAACGACAAAACAGAUUGCUUACAGAAGAAUGCUAGCAGGUUUCGAAGGUUUGGACCGAACGAACGACCGACCGGCCGAGCGGCCCCACCAAAGAGCAUUCGCAUUAGGCGACGCGGAGAAGGAAAAGGAAAAAACGGCAGAGACGUACGCAAUACGACAUCAUUAUUUUUUGCAAAUAAAUAAAUACAUGAAUAAAUUAGAAACUGUUUCGACGAGGGCUGAGGAGAUCGGCCCUGAGACGACACCGCGUUUUUUCUCCCUUCGUGGGCCGCAUCAAACAAAGACAGCACGGCCUCCUCCUCGGCUUUGUUUAAUCCUCACGUUGGCUGGCUGACGCCGCCGAAAAGCGCCACCUGUCACGAAUUAAGAAGGUCCUCAAAAGUCCUCAUUCAACUCCAAUCUGUAUUAUUCGUCAACCUUUUGAGAUUCCUUUAUUCACGAUUCUAUAAUCCAAUUAAGUAAUGAAAGUAACUAAUCCGGCACGUUAUAGAAAAAUUAGAAUGCAUUUGCUACAUUGAAAACUUAGUCAUAUGUGAAAAUAUUAGGAAAAUAAUUAGUUUUCAUUUAUUUGGCGAUCAGGAAAAGUGACUUUCUUUUUGCCAAAAUGAGAAAUCAUUUUCCCAUAUCUAAGCUUGUUGUCCAUGGAAAAUGUUAGAGAUAAUUAGGAUAGUACUCUAAGAUAUUAUCCUAUAUUAUAUAUAAUUAGAAUACUAUGUUGGCUUUCUGACUCUCAAAAUUGUGUGAUAUCUACUUUGAUUGUGCAUAUCUUGAUUGAUAUAUUUUAUCUUUGAUAGUCUCUUACAAAGUCUAUAAAUAUACCGAUGUGCUCUUCAUUAUAAUAUAUCGAAAUAUAUUGAGAAUUCUCAUCUUCUCUCUUUAAUGUUUUUACAUUUAACAAAAAUCAUUUUCUUUAGUUCAAUUAGCUUUCCGUUAUACAAAAAUCGAAAAGUCAAGAAAUUUUUUUUCUCGAAAAUAGUCUUCCUUUAAACAAAUAAACCCUAAACUUGUUCAAUAACUCUAAUUGGCAUCAGUGUAUAGAAUCCAAUCAAGUGAGGAACUCACUCAUUAUGUUAGGUGACAUCAAGAUUACCCCAUGUGUGUCUAAUAAAAUCGGAAAUUAUAGGUAUGAGAAAAUCACCCCAAUUGCACUGUUUUAAGAUCUGCUGCAAAUUAAUAACAAUGGACGAUUGAUCUUUCAAUAAUUAUCAAGGAAAUUUUCAAUGUUUUUGACACUUGCUUGCUAGGUCAUUUCGACACAAUCUCGGAGUUAAUCACAUCUUAUAAGAGUUUGUUUGGAAUGACUUUCGCUUCUUAAUUUUCUUCCUCAAUCUAAGUCUUGCAAUUUGCAUAAUCACUUUUUUCUUGUUUUUAAAUCCGAAACUCCCGAAAAUUAGUAACUUUCGUUUUUGAUUUUUGACAUACUAAAUUUUGACCAGGAAAAAAGAGGAAGUAAAAACGAGAACCGGUUCGUCAGCUAAAGUUCGGGAAGGACGGGAGAACGCUUUGGCUUGGCCUUUUGCUUAGUGUGUACGAGCUCCUGCGUCGCGACGCGCCUUCGGAAGCAUCGUCAACUACCGCCUGCUCCCCCUCCUCCUUCCCAGCAUCUUCUUACUCCUCCAUUCUUUCUAUAAAUCUCCGCACCAUAUCUGCAUUCUCAUCAUCUCCUAUCAUCUCUCUUGCUUCCUCUCUCCAUCAUCUCCACCAUCUACGUCAUCUCUCUCUCCAUCGUAUCUCUCCAAGCACAGAACUUCCUCGUGAGCUAGGAGAGAUCUCAGUCAACGUUUUCCGAUCGAAGAUGAGCCAGCACAACACCCAGAGCCAAAUCCCAGGUAAUGAUCAAACCCACCCUCGAUCUGUUUCGACUGUCCCGCCCUUUUGAUGUCGAUUCUCUCUAUCUCUCUCUCUAGUUUUUGCCGAUCUGAUCUUGGUCAAAAUCGUUUCUCCUGCUCCUCUUCUCAAUGCAGUGGUGUUCUGCAAAUCGAUCGGGUUUAUAUGGACUUAGGAUUUGCAGAAUUCGCACAUUGGUCGUAAUUAGGGUCGAGCAAGAGCUCCAAAGUCGGAUAGUGGUCGGUGGACGAUUGUAACAGUAGUAGUUCAGGAAUCCGUUUGUUCAUCUGUUCUUGUUUUUAGACUUGACAAAGAAAUCGAUCUAGCUCUCCUUUUCGGUUAGAAUUUGUGUUUGAAUUCUUGGGAGGAGCCGCCGGCGGUCUUCUUGGGGGCCUGGUGGAGGCGGCUGUGGUUGCUGGCCCAACCACCGAAGUUCAAACAGCCUUUUCAAACUAUUGACCUUGAAUUAUAUGCUCUUGGAUAUUCAUAUAUCGUUGACUUGUGAUGACAAUAUGCAAUAUUCUGUGCAGUGGCGUACCCACCACCGGCAUCAGCACCUGCGUACGUGGCGCCACCACCGCCCGGCUAUCCCACGAGGGACGCCCAACAGCCAGUGCAGAACACCAUCCCCAUCGAGACCAAGACUAGGGGCGACGGCUUCUGGAAGGGCUGGUAAGUGAUUAUCUCGCAAUGCAGCCCCUCCUUUGCUUCUACAUAUUUAUACACAUUCGCUUGUCCUAAUUGCGCUCCUUCUUGUCUUCACCAGCUGCGCUGCGAUCUGCUGUUGCUGCGUCCUGGAUGCCUGCUUCUAGGAAUUCCCAGGAGAGGAUCGCCUUCCGCUUGAUUCGUUGAUCUUUGUGUGUAGCAUUCGAUUCUACAGAUCUUUUGUCAUUCUUGCGAUAAAUGAACAUGUUCUAGUCACCAUAUACCUUUAUUAUUGCUGUGAUAUAUACUAGCGUUCUUGGGUUUUUCUUGCAUCUUUUAUGUCACACUUCAACCCCCAGUUUCCCUUCUCUUUCUCAUCCACGAAGCGAGUCCAAGAUGAAUUUAAGAUUGAGAUCCAAGGUACACGAAAGUGGACGUACCUGUUCUUAUUAAUGAGACGCGAUACAAAGAAAGCUACAACCUCUGUUUUUCGUCUCAAUUUUAGUGUUAAUGACAGCGGACGUUGAACAAAAUGGGGGGCGGGGGUGAGAAUUAGAGCUUGUACGAAGAAUGAACAUAGUUAAAAGUAAAAGGGCACUUGUAGCCUCCUCUAGCGGUUGGCGAUUGUAUGCCCUAUUAAUUUUGGGGAGAGAGAGAGAGAGAGAGAGAGAGUUAUGAUCCUUAACCAACUCAUUUUUCCAAAGCAAAAUAUUGUUACCAUCACUAAAAUUGAAUAUUUUUUAAGGGAACUAGACGCUUAAAGUAUUUCAUCACAAAUAUCGAGACUUAUGCGUAUGAUAUUGCUUAAUAAGUGUUUACUCCUCAAUAAAAUUUGUGAUAUCGUAGGAUCAUUCCAAGUUAUGUGUAAUUGUUCCAUGUUCACUGAGAAUGCUUAUAUUAUAGCUAUCAUGGAGACUAGACAAUAAAAAAAAUUCCAAAAUUAAGACUUUACUUAUUUCGCAAAAAAUGAGUAAUUUGGAAAAUAUUUUUUAGAUGAUACUUAAGUCGUUUGAAAUAAUAAGUUGAUGAAAAAUAUUUUCAUCAUCGAAAAUAAUUUAUAUUUAAAUAUUUAUGUAGAUGACAAAAAUAUUUUUCAUUCAUUCAUUUUUUUAAUAAAACAUAUGAUCAUUUUUUUAAAUACUUUUUCUUUGUGAAAUAAAUAAAGCCUGCGCUUGCUCUAAAUGUCCUCUCACGUCAGAUUGGCCGCCACCUUUCUCAUCAAGUGGAAUCCAUGGAUCACCUGAUAAUAUUGAUCUGUGGACGGGUUAAUCUCUUUGGGGAAACAUCAGCGUCCCAAUUCAUAUAUAUAUAUAUAUAUAUUUUCCGAGUGAUGACCCAGAAUACAAUUAUGUCAGCAUGUAACGUCAGUCGAAUAAAAUGUUUGACCGGUUAAUAGGGCAUCUCCAUGUAAUAUGAUUAGGCAAUCAUCCUUUCUUUCCCAACUCUAAGGUAAAAUGUGAUGUGACAAAUUUUGCUAUCGAUAACUAACCGGGUCAUAAACGAAUUGAAAAGAUUGACUCAUUGAAAACAUGUUUAUCACUCAAAGGGAUUGACCCAUUAUGGUCCAACGAGGUUAUACUCGCUUUUGAACACUGUUUAUGCGCAUCUUGUCAAGGGUUUUGUAAAAGCCUUUCAACCUUCGAUUAAUUUGCCAUUAUCUUAUUUAUUAUAUCGUGCUCAUCCCUUUUGCAACCAUUUCAGAUCUCAUUAAUAUUUAACGUUUUUGCCUUUUGCGGUAUUUUAAUUUUCUUUUUUUAAUCAAGGGCAAAAGGAUAUUUGAUUCAAGGAUUUAAUGAGAAAUUCCAACUCAUUCAUGUGUAUAGUUCAUGACUAAUGACAAGAAUUUAGCUAACCAAAGUGUAAAUGAAAAUAUUCCUUUUCUUGUCUUUAUGGAUCUUUCUGCACAUUACGUGGCUUGCAUUGACUAGCUCAUGACAAAGCACUACAUGUAUAUCAUUUGUUAAUUUUCUUUCGGAACCAUGAAUUGAUCGUCAAAUUGGACCGUCGGAUCUUGGGUGGUGUGAAAUAGAUAUAUCUUAAGCCGAACAUUCCGUGCCGAGCGAGACCCUUUUGACAAUGCUCAGAGGGAACCGUUAGUGCUGAUAUCAUGUCCACUCUUUUGUUAAUAAAAAAAUUUAAUUGACAAAUGACCUUUUAUAAGAUAUAAAAAUUCAAUAGGACCAAAAAGAUGUCUUCUAGAUUAGUCAAAAGGCAUGGUCACGUCCAAUGUAAAAGCAUCAUCAUUUAGGUUGAACUAAGAAGCAAUUAUGGAGUUUAAUAACAUUUGCUACUUGAACAAUUUUACAGAGAGAUUUCCGGUUGACCUUCUAAUGAAGAUGCUAAUCCCUAGCGAGAGCUUUUGGUUCAUGUCUGUAUGCAUAUCUCGGAAGGUUCUUCUCCCUAGCAUCUUUUCCGGCAAAGCUCGUCUUGAGAGAUCGACCAAAUUGCAAAGCUCGAUCUUGUUAAGUAUGACUUCGACAACUUUUCGAGAGUGCAAAUACGCUUUUCACGUCAAGACGUCAAUCUAUAUAUUUCAUUUAUCCAAAAUCACGAUAAGGUUCAUUUAGUUGGUUCAUGCAAUGGAACUAUAUGUUUAUCCGCUUAUGAUGACAAGAACUCUCAUCACUUACAGAUCUUUCCGUGAAACCCAUCAACUAGUCAAAACGUAGUCCUUCCUCAACCGGAUUUUGAUGUGUCAAACUUGGUUGGGUUUGGAUUCAAUCCCCUAAGUUGCCAUCUCGAUGAUUUUAAAGUAGUCAACAUAAAUAUUUAUAUCAAAGAACAACCCAAAUGUACCUCCCAAGUAAAUAGGGAAAAUUAUCCAAAAAGCCUUGAAAUUAUUGUACUUUUACUAGUUCGGUCCUAUACUAUUUAAUUUUGCUAAUUGACUCCUAAAUCUAUUAAGUUUUGCCAAUUGAGUCGAUUCAAUCAAUUUUGAUUAAAAAUCGCUGAGGUGGGCAUCAUCUGUCCAAUGUGAUAUGGCUGGUAUUAACGUGGACAAUUUUUAAUAAUAUUUUUUGAAUUAUUUAUUCAUUCAUUUUCUUUUCUUUUUUCCUAUAUUCCUUUUUUCCUUUCACUUUCUUUUUUAUUUUUCCCUCCUUCCCUUCAUUGGCCAUCACUAAGCCUCGUCGAUGGCCAACAAAACCCAUUGGUCUUGGAUGAAGGCCACUUGGGCCUAGGAUGGUGAGGGGGAGGACCUUGCUGGAUCGGGUGAGGGAAACCUUCACUAGGCUAGGCAAAGGCGACUCUCACGCGAUUUAGUGAUGAGCUGCCCUUGUCAACCAUGGCCCAAGUGUCCCUUGCUUGAGGUUGACGGAGGGAAGAAGCAAAAAAGAUAAAAGAAAAAAGAAAAAAAAAAGAAAAAAAGAGAAAAGGAAAAAAUAAAGAAGAAAAUUGAAAGUGAAGGGAAAAAGGAAAAAAGGAAAAAUAAUUUGAAAAAAUAUGAAAACAUUAUUAAAAAUUGUUUAUGUUAGCGCUAGUAGUGCUAUGUAGGAUGUAUGGAAUCUAUAUUAGUGAUUUCGGCCAAAAUUGACUAUAUGUAUUUAAUUGACAAAAUGUAAAAAAAGUUGAAUAUUGAAUUAGCAAAUGUUUAAAUCUGAAUUGGUAAAAAUCCAAUAGAUUUAGGACUUUUUGGACAAUAUUUCCAAGUGGAUGUGGUUGGGAAUUUUUUUUUUUUUUAAAUAAAAGAAUGCUGAGACAGAAAUGUAUUGUACUGUGUUAAAGAGGCUUCUAUUUGUCUGAUUAAGAUUCUCUCUUCCUUUUCAAGUGCUAUCACACCAUAGCUUCUAUAUAUUGUUUCAAAUUCAUGAAUGAUUAAGAUUCGAUCUUUAUUUCAUGUACUUUCAUAUAAAACACGAUCGGUUACUUGCUUAGAGAGUUUGACUUCUCUGCCAGCCACAAACAAAGCUGAGCAUUAGCUGGUUGGAACAUUGUUUUUUGGGACUAAAUGAAUACCCCAGAGAGAAAUAUCCUGUACUAUAUUAAAGAGACUUUUUUGUAUGAUUAAGAUUCUCUCUUCAUAUGCAUGUGCUUUCAUACCAUAGCUUUGAGAUGGUCUACCCCAUUUAUAAAAAUUUAACUUUUUAAGUCGGAUAUUCUAAUAUUUCUAUGUUAUUUGGUGAAUUAUGGAUUGUUUGAGAAUUAUAGCAUAAUUGCGAAUAAUAAGAAGAGUACCAUGGGUAUUUAUUAGAAAGUAAAUGAAUAUGCAUGUGAUGUAAAUAAAAAUAAUUACACUAUUAAGAGUUAUACAUACUAUAUCAUCAAAUUUAAAUAAAGUUCUAUUAAUUAAAUUUUCAUAACAUAAAUAAUUUUAUAGAUUGUAAACAAUUUUUUCUUUCUUAUUGGAACCAUCGGGCGCUGUCCCUAGCAUAGCCUUGGGUUCUUGGACCCUAAUGUUGAGGUCUUGGACCCAACCAUUUGGGGGAUGAGAGUGCUUGACCAUCGAGGUACCUUGGUACAACCGCCGAAGACUCAAACACUAAUGUUGAGUAGGGGUGUCAAAAACCGAAACGAACCGAAAAAAUCAGUUUUUUUCAGUUCAGUUCUCAUUUGGUUUGGUUCUCAUUAAGAACCAAAAUUUUUUAACUGGUCCGGUUAACUGAACCAAACCGAUAAAAUCUAAAAUUUAUCGUUUUUUUUUUAAAUUUAAAAUCAUUUUUAAAUUUUUUUUACUUUUAAUUUUAAUUUUUUUAAUUUUAUUUUUCUUCGGCCAUGAAAAAGAAGAAAAAGAAAGAAAAAAAUAAAAAAUAAAAAAUAAAGAAUAAAGAAAAAGGAAAAAAAAGAAAAUAAAAAUAAUAAAAAAUAAUUACAAAGUCGAUUUUAAAAAAUAAAAUUUUUAUAGAAAGUGGUGUAUGUAGGGAGAAAUACAAACAUAAAAGUAAAAACCGAAAAAUCAAACCGAACUGAACCGAACCUGGAUUUCGGUUCGGUUCAAUUUCGGGUUGGAUCGGAUUUCGAUUCGAUUCAAUACAUUUUUUAUCGGUUCGAUUUAGUUCAGUUUUUCAAAAAAAUCAAACCAAACCAUUUACACCCCUAAUAUUGAGGACAAUGGGCCUAACCUCGAGGGGCCUUGGCCCGUUUUCCAAGGUCUUGGACUUGAGUACCUAGGACCUCAGCUUGAGCAUCAGAACUAGGCCUCAGCCUUGGGUGGAUUAGGCUCGACCACCAAAGUCCAAGUCAUUAGAACUAGAGUUUCUAAGGCCUCGCCUCGAUGGAUGCAAGCCUGGGCCUCGAUAACAUGGGUACUAGAGUCGAGUACUUGGGCACAACCAUCGGGGACUCAAAUUGGGCACUAGGGUCUUGGGUUUAACCUCGAGGAGUGUGGGCCCAUACUUCAUGGACUCGGGCUCAACCAUUGAGGAAUCGGGCCAUGCCUCAAUUAACUUGAGCCCAAGCACUAGUGAUUUGGGCAUGGGAGUCGAGUAACAAGGCAUGGCCGUUGGGGAAUUGGGCACGGGCAUUGAGGUCCCUUGCUAGACCUAUGUGGAGUCGGGCACAAGGAUUGAUGACUUAGGCAUGGGAGCUGGGUAUCCAUGCCUAUGCAUGGUUACUUGGGACUCGGGCAUGUAUAUUGAGUCUCAACCCAUUCUCAAGAGACCUAGACUUCACCACUAUGGACUUGCACACGAGCAUUGCGGUUUUCGUGCAUAAGUGUCGAGAUUUUUGGUCCAAGCACCGUUGUCUAGUUAUAUUUUUAAAAAUGAUUUGUGAUUUUUUAAAAUAGAAAAUCAUUUAUCUAAAUUUAAACACAGCCUUUUCAUUGAUUAUGGAAAGGUAUUCCGACGACUCAUUUUCUUAAAUGAUUCAAAUGUCAGAGAAUAAGGAAAAUGUUUCUUUUGAUGGAAAAUUUUGCAUAAAACAAAGCCUAAUGAGAAAUGGAACCUUAUUCAAAUGCAUGUUACAUGACUAAUGACAAAAUUAGCUAGCCUAGGCUAACAACGUCCAAACUCACCUUGGGAUACACGUCACCUCUCUUGCUUCGCUUUUGCUUCCCGUGUUCAGACUCACGCGGUCUGACGCGCCUUCGGAAGUACCGUCAACUAUCCGCUCCCUCUUUCUCCGUAUCUUCCUUCUCAUAUAUUCAUCUAUAAAUCUCGCACCGUUCCUUCGCUCUCAUCAUAUUAUCAUCUCUACCAUCUCCCUCUCUCUCUCUCUCUCUCUCUCUCUCUCUCUCUCUCCAAGCACGUACUUUUACGCGAGCUAGAGAUCUCAGUCAACGUUUCCGACCGAAGAUGAGCCAGAACAACCACCAGAACCAAAUCCCAGGUAACAUUCGAACCCAUCCUUGUUCUCUCUCGAAUUUCGCCGACUUUAUCUCGGCAAAAUCGCUUCCUUUUGCCCCUCCUUUUCAUGCAAGAAUAUCCCACAAUCUCAUUUUCAUUAUGAUCGGCGAUUGUAACAACAGUUCAGCAGUCGUUUGUUUGUCUGUCCGUCUUUCUUGUUUUUGGAUUUUCUUAAACUCGACAAAGAAAUCAAUCAGCACUUGUUCUUUCUGGUUGAAAAAUCUUGUUUGACUUCUUGGGAGGAGUCACCGGCGGUCUUCCGGCGGCUGGUGGAGGAGGUGGCUGUGGCCGCUAGCCCCACCACCGAAGUUCAAACCAAAAUUUUCGAACUAUUCAGCUUGAAUUAUAUAAUCUUGGGUAUUCAUGUAUCGAUGACUUGUGAUGACGGUACGCGAUAUUUUGUGCAGUGGCGUACCCACCACCGGCAUCAACAAUGGCGUACGUGGCGCCUCCACCACCCGGCUAUCCCACGAGGGACGCCCAACAGCCAGUGCAGAACACCAUCCCCAUCGAGACCAAGACUAGGGGCGACGGCUUCUGGAAGGGCUGGUAAGUGAUUAUCUCGCAAUGCAGCCCCUCCUUUGCUUCUACAUAUUUAUACACAUUCGCUUGUCCUAAUUGCGCUCCUUCUUGUUUUCACCAGCUGCGCUGCGAUCUGCUGUUGCUGCGUCCUGGAUGCCUGCUUCUAGGAAUUCCCAGGAGAGGAUCGCCUUCCGCUUGAUUCGUUGAUCUUUGUGUGUAGCAUUCGAUUCUACAGAUCUUUUGUCAUUCUUGCGAUAAAUGAACAUGUUCUAGUCACCAUAUACCUUUAUUAUUGCUGUGAUAUAUACUAGCGUUCUUGGGUUUUUCUUGCA
rnacentral:lncRNA from 1 species